UUGUACAACUUCUGGGAGUUCCCCUCUACUGGCUAAAUAAGAUGCUGCCCAAUUCAGGAAAGAUUUAAUACAGCCAAUUAGAUCCUCAAGUUUACUCAGGUUUUUUUUUUUUUUUUUUUUUUUUUUUUUUUUAACAGAAUUGGCUGGCAGUGGUGGGAUCUGAAGCAAAUAUCUAUUGGCAUUUAGGAACAAUGAGAAACACAGCCCGAAGAACCUCGAAGGGCGGAGGACAUUCAUCCUUCCUGAUAGUUGACAUAAAAAGCAGGGGAUGCUUUAAACUCACUGGAUACCACUCUCUCCCAGCAUUGCUGCAGCAGAGAGAUCCUUGGGAAAUCUGACAUAUAGCCAGCAGAAGGUAAGAUUUCUUAUCACCUCUGUCUCCUGGAAUCUCUAUGAAGUCUGAGUCAAGAGCAAUAGUGGUAAGAACCCUUUUUCUAAAUGAAAAUGAGCAGGAGAAACUAUUUGUGGAACUAGUUCCUUGGGCUUAGUGACUCUUGGUAAAUCUGGUAGAGUACUCUUUGGUUACUGAUCUAUUUCAUCCCAGGACCUUUGUUUUCCUGUGUCUUUUAUGUCAUUUGUCAUAGGUGAGGUAAAAGCUGUUGCUAAGGGACAUCUUGGAAGCCAAAGCCACCAAACUGGUGGGGAUGGGUUUGGCACUUAAAAGCCAGUAGAGUGCUUGCCACCUAGCUCAGAGACUCCAAUGCUAAGAUAAGUUGGUCAUGGACCUUAGAUUGACACAGGUUACUUGCCAACUUCCAGAAAGCUUCUGUGCAACAAGGUAUACUAUAAAACACACAAUCCACUGCAUAAGCCUCCCAGGUAUUAGUGUAGCUCCAAGAGACCCAAGGCUUAGCUAUAAGAAAAACUGGAUGUUUUUUUUUUCCUUUUGUCUUAUUCUAUGUCCUAAGAGCUUGGCUUUGUGACCACUGAGAAUAUUCUUUUUGGUCUCUGCUAUCUAGAGGGUGUACCUUGAUGGCCACUUGAAUAGGCGGGUUCUCAGUCUGUCAAGCUAUGCCAGCUCUUAGCAGAGUUUCUUGUGAGAGGUCCCAGGCCAUGGGGACAUUUGUUCACUGUUACUGCUGGAAAGUCCCAUUCCUAAGUGGCACCUGCCUGGUGUCAGAGAUUAGUGGGUUUGUGACAGGAGGAGUCUCAAAUUUUUGUGGGAGAUCAGAGACGGUUUUCACUGCAUUAUCCUUACUACCUGUGCAAUAAAGGCCUUUACUUCCUUAGAUUAAUUUUGGAUCACGGGGGCUACAUUAUCUCCACUCUUCUCUGAAUGCCUUUGGUUAAGCCAUUUAGUUACUUCUAACAGAUGUGAGUUACUACUGAUAGAUCUCAUUUGUCAAUGCCUAGACAGUGGAUCCUUUAAAUUGGCUAUAUUUUAAAAAUAUCUAUUUAAAUGUAGCUCUCAAUUGUAUUUGUAUAAUGGCUAGCCUUAGGGACUCCCCUGACAAAAUGAAGAGAAAUCACACUUCAGACAAAAAUCAAUGUCCAUAUCCAACAUAAAUGCCCCUUCUUAAAAUCCAGUCUCAUCUGACUGUUUCCACGUCCAUUUCCCUACAGGAUUAACAGAGAACUCUGGCCUAAUCUCUAGGUUAAAAGUAUACAGGUUGCUCAUAUAAAUGCUGAAAGCCAGAAAAGGAAUGUUAACAAAAGCACCCAACACUGGCAGUAAGGGUCUCUUUGCUUCUAUCUUUCAGGGCUCUGAAAUCAGGCUCUGCCAGUUUCAGGCAUUUCUAUGCAACAUCCUUUAGAAGUAGAUCCUAGACCACCUGCCACAAAAGAAAUUGUGUUCCCUGGACAGCAGAAAAUCUUUUAAACUAUAAAGCCUUUUCACCUCUACUUUCAGAAGAUCCUACCAAAUUUAGAGAAGAAUUAAAAAGAUUAAUGGCUACUCACAGCCCCUCUAUGGAGAGGAACAAUGACCACAAUUUUUCCUAGCUCCUCCUACAAAAGGUUUGCAAAGGGCCAAUACUCAGGGGCUAAUAGAAAAGCCAGGGUUGAACUAUACACCCAGAAAAAAGGGUUUUGUUAAAGUGCUUCGGAAAGAUUUUACAAAAGCAUAAAGUUUCUGAUUCUAAUUUUAGUUAAAAUUCUGAUAUAAAGCAAAUUUAGUUCCAAAAACAGGCCAAUCCCCUGACAUUCAGGACAUAAUCUAAUUCUGUGGGAAUUAGUAACAACUGUCUUUGUCUUACAGAUCUCUGAAAAAGUAGAAAUGUAACUCUAGAAACAAAGCCCACCAAUAGCUCUUAGAAUGUCUAUAGCUUUAUAAGAUUACAAUAUUGAACAAAACUGUCCUGCACUUAAGAAAAAAUGCCAAAUCUUAAAUAGCAAUCUGAAACUCUGAAGGAAAAAACUUGUUUUGCUUUCUUUCACAGUCCCUUGAAAUUCUUAGGUCUUUAAAAUGUAAACACAAUCCACAACUGCCUGUGACUGAAAAUUAAAAACGCAAACUUUUAAAAGGGCUCUUGUGGCAGACUCUAGCACCUUUGAUAACAAACUGGUACAUUCUAUCUCCACCUUAGAGAAAACUUGGAUGAUCUCUUCAAACCUCUGGGAUGUAAAUUUCCUACCCCUAUCAUCUCUAGGAUAAGAGAGCCAUUGUUUGAAAUACCAAGGUCAGGGAGAAGUUUUUUCAUUGGGGUGGGGUCUUUGGAAAUCAGGCCUUUAAUUAAUGUCCUCUAGACAGGUGUGAGUAAAAACAAAAGUUAUGAAGAAAAGGUGCAAAGAAAAGUCUUAUAUUUGUCUAUAUAUGCUAUAAAUGUGAGAUUUUUUUCUACCUCUGGAUGGUAAUACCAAAAUUUGUAAAAGAGCUCUAUUUUAGUUGGUUUGAAGACAAGUGCUUGUUAAGGACUGGGUGUUCUAAAACUCAGAAAGCUAGAAACUAAUCCAAAUAUUUUUCAAGUUCAUGUGAUUAUUUAGUAUUGUUGGUUAAAGACAUAUCUAUUAUGCAUGUGUUUAGAAAGAGUUAAAUAUGUUCAUGUUACCUUUUUUGCAAAACUUAACAGAAAAUAAUUUUAGGACAUUGGUUGACUUUAUUUUCUGAUGAAGUUUUGUGGGUAGUCUGAACACAAUUGUUAAGAACAAGUAAAUAAACAUAAAAAAGGUUUGUAUGUAAACUUUUAAAUUUCUUCCAAAAUCUUUGAUAACCUGAAACUUUAAUGUUUUGCUAAGUUAAAAUAACGAAUUAAGAUAAACUCAUUCAAUUAUCUACUUCUUUAUUAUAGAAAGACUAAAGAUAAAUUUGGAUGUUGGAAAAUGUUUUGUGCUUUGCUAUGAAGGACAUGUUUCUAGACAUUACAAACAGUUCACAACUGCUUAUAACAGUUUUCACUAGAAAUUAGUUUCUAAGAGUUAAGGGGAAAACUAUAUGUAGGGAAAAGUCAUAGUAUGAGGAAUAAGAACUGUGUCCUUGAACUGCAGUAUGCAACCGAUGUUGGCCUUCUCUGACUUGAAGUCUCAAGUGAGCAAGGAGAAAUCAAACAAGCAGAAGCAGAAAACCAGUUAAAACAGAGGCAUGCAAGCAAUAUUUUCUAACAAUCAGAUAUGAGAGAAACUUCAGUUUUAAGGACUGUAACAGAUUAUACUUUGCAGAUACAAAGGAGAGAGGGUAUAUGUGCUCGUAAGCAGUUCUGAGCAGUUCUUUUCAGAGCAAUAUGAAAGACUGUCUCCCAGGCUAUAGUCCUUGGUGAAACCAAAAAAGCAUUUACUAACCUACUUUGAGGUUGGUUUUCUUUCAGCUGACAAAACAUAGCUUUGCUGGACGAAAAGAUAAUUUUGUCCUAAAGUGAGGGCGGUUAUUUAAAGAGGGAAAACUUAGGACAAAAUCUGAAUGUAAAAAAUAAAGCUGGAUAAGGUUUACGGAACAGUAAGUUUAGAAAAGAAUUUUAGUACUGAUCAGUACUGGCUAAGAUUAGGAUGAAUUUAAGCAAGCAAAUAAUUUUCUUGAACUAUUGGUCUGCUCUUAGUAAGAAACUGUAAACAAAGCUUUUCUUUACCUUUAAAGUCAUCUGCCAAGAAAACAAGGAUUCUGUGUUUGGUUAUCUUUGAAGACUUAAGAAAACUGAGUCAAUAUUAAAAGAGCUCAAUUUUGCUCACAACAAUGUAACCACUUCUCUUUGCAAUCUUUUAUUGUCACUUGGGCUAAAUAAUUACAUGGUAUUUCAUAAUAAUUAAAUGUUCAAACCUUUUAAAUACUUUUUAUAUGUUUCUGGAUUAUAAAAAACUUUAAAAAAUUUUGUGAAAAGGUGCUAUAGUAAAUUGCAGCGGAAGCAUUGCAAAGUGACACUAAACCCUCUUAGAUUGUUUGUAUAGACAUGUUAGUAAAAUUAGUGAAACUCCUACUAAAAAUCUGGUAUCUUCAUGUGUUAUCUUGAAGUGUUGUAUAUUACAAACAAAACAAUUUCCUUAUCAACUGCAUUGUUAAUGAAGUCUAAUUAGAUCUAUAACCAUGGUCAUCUUUAAGUUACUCUUUUACUCUGAUGGUAAUGCAAAUGUCCUCCGUGAGACUCACAUAAAGAACUCUGAGCACAAGUUUCCAAAAAUCUUAAAAUCAUAAAUCUGAACCAGGUAAGAAUUUCUGAACUAGUAAAAAACAAAAACCAGAUUCAAGCAGAAUAAGAAUAAAUCAGACUGAACGAACUAAGAAUUAUUUUUAUGACUUUGAAACACUGCUGACUUUUUAAAAUGUUUUGUUUUUUCAGACUGAAGGAAACUUUUCUUAAGCUAACUGAUUUACAGCAAUUUGGAACAUUCAUCUCCAGCAUCCAGAAACCCAUCGAGUAUUCUAAGAGUCCAUUCUCCUUUUAACAGGACACAAUGGGUAAACUGUGGUUAUAUGAUCCAGGCUUUGACUGCAAUGUCCUAUUUUAGACACAGAUUUACACAGACUCAGAUAUGACCAGACAGCUUUAAGGAUUUUAUGGAGCCUAUAAAGCCCCCUUGUAAAUAUCAGCCUGAUAACUAUUGCUUACAGAGUUCUCAGCAACUUUACCAGGUAAGAAAAGAAGAUCAUUUCCUGGCCAGUGCAGGAACCUAGAGAAAAGAAGAAUUCACCCAAAUCUAUAGGUACUGCAGGUGAAGUCUGAUGGCAACUGACAAUUUAAUCUGGAGAUUUCUUACGAAUAGUUCCAGCAAAGCAGGUUUAAAGAGCCUAUAUGGUCAAGUGCUAUUCUUGCUGCACUUAUGUAAAUUAAUCAGGCCAUGUUCUUUUAGGACCUUAAUUAGUGUCAAUUUGGCUAUCUUUGGUAGAAAUGGUGAUUACAAAAAGAAAAACACACCUGUGUAUUAGAUUUUAAUACUGCUCAUCAAAAACUGGACUAGAUCCAGAUUACCUCUAGUUUCCUCCAAUGACUAGCUACAACUCUCUAAACUCAUAUUUUCAGUUUUUCUCCUACCUUUCUGACUUGGAAUCAUUUGAGAACUAAAACUGCCCUCUUCCCUGAAGCCCUGCAAAGCAAAUAAAAACAACUUGAGGUAACCUUCAAAAAAAUCACACUAACUCCCAUCUAGACCCUCUGCAUCCCUGUUGUUCUAGGGGCCACUCAAAAGAUCAGAGAUAUGUGGACUCUAAACCAGGAAAAUCUGUCAGACUGUCACUCCCACUCCAGCUGAGGAUAUGUCCAGCUGGACAUCUAGAAGUCAGGACACCUGAUUGAUUAUUUAAUUAAAUCACAGCCUCACUUUAAGAAUAUACCUUUAUCAUGGCCUCCUGAAGUGAGAUUAUAACUGAGCUGAUCUAUUGACAGUACUAAAAGACUGAUUCAACAAGAUGGAACAAUCUACCAGGGCUCAACUUUAUGUGUGUGAAACUUCAGGGAUGUCUCAGAGGAAACUUCAAGUGCCAAGGGCAGGCACUAAGAUGGGCCACUUUGUCUAUGCCCAUCACUUUCAGGUAAAAGCAGUCAAAACCCAGCAGAUUUAGGAAAAACUCCUUACCUCCCCACCAAAUGCCUAUGUUUACAAUUACAGAAAGGACAGCCUAUACCCUGAGACAGCUACUGAGAUUCCUCUUUACCUAAGAUGCUUAUUUGUGUAACAGCAACCUUUAUUUUCCAAACAUCUCCUCUCACCUUCCUGCUAAUGGCUGUCCUUCCCUUUAUAUCCUCAGAACCCCCCCAUUCUUAGCUCAGGACGUCAUAUAAGCCUCACAUUGCCUGAAUGUCUUUGGAAUUUCAUGUCUGUUUUCUCCUGUUAAUCUGUCUCAUGUCAAUCUUAGUCCAGCUAGAAGGGCAAAGGACAUUCUUCCUCCCCAAUAAUACCAGAGAAAAGAACAACAUAAUGGUAACUGAGAGCAGCACUAAUGUCUUAAAUUUUGAUCACAUUUUUCAGUUAAGCUGAGAUUGAGCAAAGGGGGAACUGUUAAACUACAGGCCCCAAAUGGCGUCACUUAGGCUUCGUCUACAAACCAGGGCUUAACACCUACAUUAACUGCACUUUCAAACUUUCUCAGAAAUGUAGUUUUAACUGAAUAAUGGGAGAUUUUCCGAUGAGUGAUAAUGGGCCCUCUACACAGAAGGUAAUCUGUGUAAGACCCCUUGUUUUUAUCCUCAUGGGAAAGUGAGCUUGCUUGGAACAAUCCUUUUCUUUUGCUCGUAAUUUUCUUGCCCCACCUUUCUUCCUAUAAAAACCUUCCAUUUUGUACAAUGCAUCGAGCUUCCAUUCCUUCUACUUGCUAGAUAAGAGGCAGCCCAAAUAAUUUUUAAAAAGUGAAUUAGAUCUUCAGAUUUACUCUACUGAUUUUUGUUUUUUAACAAGAGAGCAAAUUGCCUUACCUGCAAGGUAGCGAAUUGUUUCAAGCUUGUUAGACUCCAUCAGUGUUUUCAAAGAAGCAAUUUCAGUGUCAAUCUUAUUACUGGUCUCGGAAAUAAUACUUCUGGUUUUGGUAUCCUGCAGAAAAUAAGAAAGAGAUAAAUUUUGUCCCUGUGAAUUAUGGACACAAACAUUUACAUUAGAAACCCUUACUUACGGGCUAACUUUGUAUUGCAAAAGUCUUAACAGGGGAAACAGUAAAAACACAGUGAUAGAAAAAACAUAUGAACUUAGUUACAAACUGACAAAAAGAAUAUACUACUUUUGAUAUCUGGAGAUCAUUAUUAUUGAUUUCUUUGGAUUAACCUAUUUUGGGUACAUACUACUAGAAGCCUCAGUUAAAGAUUUGAGACCUAAAAUAUAUGAUAAUAAACUAAGAAGGAAAAGAAAAAUUUUAGUCACAAAACUAUAAACACUUUAUAAAAUCCUUAGGAUAUCACAAUGAAAACUUAUACACAAUCUAAAGAAAUCUCAUCCAGAUUCAUAAUGUGAAUUGGCACCAAUAUUAAAGGGAAUGGCAGAAAUGCUUUUGUGGAGUAAUACCAAAUGCUAUGUGUACAGGGGCUAAGGGGUAAGUAGAGAGAUAAGAUGGCAUAUGGAGCUUAGAAAUGAGCUCUCAGAGAAUUUGAUUUCCUUGUUUAUUUCUUUUAUCCGGCCAAGAAUAGACCAGAAUAGAAUACUUGGAAAGACAAAUGAGGCCUUCCCUUCUAUUUAAUUAUAAUUAAGAAAGAGUGAUGCUCGUUGAGGCACAUGUGUGGCACAAUCAGUUAAACUGCCACUCUUGGUUUUGGCUCAGGUUGUGAUCUCAGGGUCAUGAAACUGAGCGCUGCCUGUGGCUCUAAGCUCAGCACAGAGUCUGCUUAAGACGUUCUCCUGCCCCUCUCUGGCUCGUGCGCUUUCUAAAAUCUUAAAAACAACAAAAAAAGCGUGAUGUCUCUUGUGGUGGAAUGCAGACCAAACGGUUCUUAACUUGCAGGCUGACUCAAAAAGCUGGGUCUUACUUAAGCCAUAGAGAUUAAACAAGGAUCGCAACUUAGGGUUAGGGAAGGUAAACAGUUGUAGAAUAUGGAGUUUAGAAUCCAGGGUCACAUUCUGGCUCCAACACUUAGUAGCUAGGUGACUUUAAUCUCCCUGUGCCUCAUUUUCCAAACUAGCAAAAUGGGAAUAAAGAGGGCCUUAAGAGGCUAAGGAGAAUAGAAGUAAAGCAAGUAAAACAGUAUCUGAUACAUAAUAAGCAUUCAAUAGAUAGUUACUGUUAACCUCUGCCUUCAUUUAAAAUGCUAAUUGUGAAUCCUUGUCUUUCAAAAAAUAGUUCUUUUGUUUAUAGAAAUAAUUUAGUUAUAAAAUAUGUUACCAGGAAAGCUAGAUUCUGACAGAGAUCACAGUUCAGGUACAACACAUAUAAGCAGUUAUACAUGAGAAUGGUAUAAAAGACAUUUUUACAUACUAGUUUACCUUGCUGGUAAAUUCUGUGGUUGCUUCCAUCAGUUUCUUUUCUUGAUCUGUAAACUAAAGGAUAUGAUGAAUCAGGAGG